UGGGCUUGACAUGCACGGAAAUCCGGCAGAGAUGUCGGGUCCGUAAGGGCCGUGCACAGGUGGUGCAUGGCUGUCGUCAGCUCGUGUCGUGAGAUGUUGGGUUAAGUCCCGCAACGAGCGCAACCCUCGUUCCAUGUUGCCAGCACGUAAUGGUGGGGACUCAUGGGAGACUGCCGGGGUCAACUCGGAGGAAGGUGGGGAUGACGUAGCUAAGCCUUC
rnacentral:misc_RNA from 1 species